ACGGGGUGCAGCAGGCGCGAAAACUGGCCAAUGCGCGAAAGCGUGAGCCGGCUAGUCCGAGUGAUAGCCCAUCGGCUAUCUUUUGUCAAGUGUUUACAGCUUGGCGAAUAAUGAGAGGGCAAGACUGGUGUCAGCCGCCGCGGUAACACCAGCCCCUCGAGUGGUGGGGAUGAUUAUUUGGCCUAAAGCGUCCGUAGCCGGCCGGAUAAGUCUCCCGUUAAAUCCAGCGUCUCAAGCGUUGGACUGCGGGAGAUACUGUCUGGCUAGAGAGUGGGAGAGGUAUACGGUAUUCUGGGGGUAGGGGCGAAAUCCAUUGAUCCCCGGAGGACCACCAGUGGCGAAGGC
rnacentral:rRNA from 1 species